UACGAAGGGGGCGAGCGUUGUUCGGAAUUACUGGGCGUAAAGGGCGCGUAGGCGGCCGAUCAAGUUAGAUGUGAAAGUCCUGGGCUUAACCUGGGGACUGCAUUUGAUACUGAUUGGCUUGAAUUCGGGAGAGGAUAGCGGAAUUCCCAGUGUAGAGGUGAAAUUCGUAGAUAUUGGGAAGAACACCGGUGGCGAAGGCGGCUAUCUGGACCGACAUUGACGCUGAGGCGCGAAAGCGUAGGGAGCAAACAGG
rnacentral:rRNA from 1 species